rnacentral:lncRNA from 1 species
AUUGAAUGCUUUCAACUGUUUUCUAAGGGAACAAAUUACCUAUUUAUUGAAAUGAGUUAACUGUAGCUUGCUGACAAACAGUAUUUCAUUUUCAGGAGCAGCUGUCAGACUUUUAAAACAUGAAAAGCCCAUCAAAAACAUUUUAGAAAGUACAGCCAAAACCUUAUAUGUGUCUUUCUAAAAUCUGUUCUGCUCAGAUGUAUUCAAGGCUGAAAACAUAAAAAAUUGGAUUAAAAUUAUGAAGCUACUCUGACGUGAUAUAUUAAAGAGCUCUGAAUGAUGCCUAGGGAUGGAGGAGAGAAGAAAAACACUUGAGUUUACUGAGGAAAUAUUUCAUUGGGAAAUGAAAAAGGUAUUGUUUGUAAAGUGCUUUGAAGAGUUCCUGCUACUUAGCUGUAACUUAUGAAGAAUUUAUGAAGAUGCCAUGUGCUAUGAGAUUAUUAAUCCAAACACGGAG